UCAUCUCCUCCAACAUGACUCUAAACAUCGUCAUGUUCGCCAGACGGUUGGCCUCCAACACGUCCUCAGUGGCCUUCUUGUUCGCCUCUCUGACGGCGUCCAGCAUGGCCUGGUUUGCCAUUCUCAUGGCCUCCUGGUCGGCUAGUCGGGCCGCCUGCAUCUCAGCUAAUGCAGCCAGGACAGGAUCGGGCCGAUCCUCUGAAGUCUCGCGGUUUCUCCCGGGUCUUACCAUGACUCUGCACAGGUUACACAAAUUAUGAGUUGAUCAGGCCCACGCAAUGUGGUCACAUAUGCAUUAUCAUAAUAAUACUCGACGGAGCAAACACACAAAACAGACACAACCAAACAUCCUAAUCAUUGCAAUACAUACAGGAUUUUCCCUUGAACCGUUGCUCUAAUACCAUAAAAUGUAACACCCCAUGUAUACCCGGAAUAUUAACAUUACAUCGUAUUAAGCGGUGCUUAAUUAAAAAUGCGGAAUAUUCUUUUUCUUUUCAAUUAUGACGUCAUUAUCAAUUACCAACUUGAUUACUUAAUCAAUUUCAUAAAAUAUCGCCUGUAUGUAAAUUGCAAUAAGACAUCUACUGAAAUACCUCAAUAUAUAGAUAAAGUGUGUAUCUAAAUCACGGCAUUACAUCAAGUAAUCCAGACAAUAUCCUGAUACAUUAUUACAACUUCAAAAGACUCAAGACCUAAUCAAGACAUAACAAUACUAUGUGUCAUGGACAAUCCCCAUGCUCACCAAAUAAACAUAGUCAACAACCAGUCUCAACAUAAAACUCCAUAAACAUAAACCGAAGCUAUAAGCAUAAGCAGCAUGCAUAUCCAGCAUCCAAUCAUAGCAGCAUAAAAUAACAGCAAUCUAACUCAGCUCCGGCCUCCUGCCGCCUGAGGUCUCAACGUUACCUGACCCUGAAAUAAGCAUUCCCCAAACGUGGGGUGAGAUCUUUAAACUAGAAAUCUCAGUAAGACAAUGGGUCCUCAAGGAUCUUCCACCCCAAGCUCACUUGCAUGUGCAAUAUAAGUUCAAAAAGCAUUUAUAUCAUUAUCAGUUUCAAAACUAUGUAGUGCAACAGAUAUCUAUGGCAUGUGUGUAAUCACUAUCUACUGGCCAGAGAAAUGUAGGAAUACGUCUAUUCCCUACAUCUAGUACAAGGAACACCGCUUGCACCUCACCCACAGCCUCACCCUCUUGUAUGUUCUACAUACUCAGGCUUACCGUAUAGGUGAAACACCUCCAUGCAUAUCAACAAGGCACUAACAUAUAAUAGCUCAACAGCAUUUCUAAAACAUCAAAAGCAUGUAACACAGCAUGCAUAUACCAUAUCCCCAUGGGACAUGGUGGAACCACAACAUGGCUAAACCGAGGACACGAAAGCUUACCUCUAAACUAGCUAUCCAAUGCCACAAGCUCAAAGUCCAAUCACAGCAGAUCACAAUCUGAUAUGGACCAAAUAUAAAUCAAUAACAUGUACCACAUGCAUACAAAUUAAAGACAACGCCUUUUCAUUAUGUUUUCAAGUCUUAAAGCUUCUAACAAAGCCACAAGCCCUUAAUCCCAUGAUUCUGGCUUAGUCCAUUAAAUACAGAAGUUCAACUUCAUCAAACUAGGGUCCACAAACCCCCAAUAGCCUACUGUACACACAGCACAACUACUGUUCUGCGAAAUCCCAGAAUAUUCGGAUAUUCCUCGGGACCAUAUCCGGAUAUGCAAUAUCUGGAUAUCUUACUGUCCAUAUAUCCGGAUAUACAGAUUCACAUUUCUGGAUAUCCAAUAUCCGGAUAUCCCAAAACCACAUAUCCGGAUAUCCAAUAUCCGGAUAUCUGUUCGACGAAUAUCCGGAUAUUUCACGACAGAAUGCAUUUUUUGCAUUUUCGUGAAGAUAUCCCUUAAAGGUUCCCUUUUUACCGAUUUUAAACACCUAAUCAUGCAUUUCUAGGCGUGUUCAACAUUACCCAACAACAAGUUAUCAUCUUUUAACCUUAACAUGCAUCAAGCUUCCAUUUUUAAGCCUUAAAACUCAAGUUAAAGGUUGGUACAACAUACCAAGGCUGAAAACUCAGAAUGGAGGUGCUCUUGGAGCUCAACACAGCCCCUCAAGUCUGACUCAAGGAAGAUGCACGAAAAAGAACAAGAAGGUAGGUCUUUCACUCAACAAGAAGGCAUCUUGGAGCAUCAAAAUGCCAACAAAAGGUCAUACCCCUCAAGAACAGCAAACACAGCUCUUCAAACUCCCUCACACAGGUUCUCUAACUCAGAAACAGCACCCUAAUGCAGUCCCAAGACCAACCUUCACCCUCACCAAGUGUUUAAAUGGAAGAACAAGCCUCAAAGGUAAAAGCAAUCUUAUCUUAUUGCCCCACAUGAAUCACAUUUUCAAAUAGUAUACAAUAUUCUGAAGGAACAUAUCUUGCAAGCACCUGAUUAUCAGAAGUUAAUACUGAACUAAAUAGAGGCAUGGUGGCUCAUGAUAAUCCUCAAGAUUAGAAUCUGAUCAGAAAGAAAAUGGCAACAGGAUUGUCAUGAAUGGAUUUAGCAAAAUGGUAACUGAAGGUGAUCUUUUACAGCCUGAACGAAAGCAUUGUUGACAGUUAGCCCCAAAGGUGAUGUAUUAAAGCAUGAAAUCCUUGAUGACUAUGUGAAAGCUAAUGGCGACUAUGUGAAAGCAUUCCAAGUUUGAGUCACUUAUAUGUUGUUCUCAUGUAUCAAUUUGCAAGACUACACGACUACACUACUUACAUAUGAGGCAUACAAUGAGGAUCAAGUCAAUGACGAAGAUUGCAAUGCCCCUUUACAUAAGCAUAGUCGAUAGGAAUUUAUUUUUAUUUUUUUAUACACUUUGUGAACAAUAUUUUUUGUUGGUACUUCUA